rnacentral:lncRNA from 1 species
CCGUCAAACUACAUAAAAUUAAAUUCUUAUCAAAAAUAAAAACAAAAGAAAAUACUUGGAUUUUUUUUUGCAGAUCAAAGUAGUUUUUUACUAUAAUUAUUCAUACACAACAAGGCCAGAGUGCCAUAAACUUUUGCUACAUGGACAUUAUUCAAGAUACUAAAGGUUAGCCUCAUAGUAAUAAUUAGCCAACCCUAGCACUCAUAACUAUUUUACAUAGAUAAUACUCCCAAAAGCAUUAAUUAAACAAGACAGUAGUCCAUUUUGUAGCCGUACCAUUUGUGCUAUAUUAUAGAAUUGGUCCUCGGAUCCGCAAUUUUCAUUUUAGAAGGUAGUGUUACGAAUUUGAGGCGGUAGUCAUCAGUAGCGUCAUCGGUAGGGCAAUCUACGAACCUUGUUGCUUGUUGGUUCAUGCAUACAUUAAUAUCCGUAAGCACAUAUUCUGAGUUUUCGUUUUUGGUGAAAUCGAUUUCUGGCACAGCAUUCAAGUGCUUUUUGAUUGCUUCUUUUAUCAUUUUAGGACGAUAAAGGUCGUUAUUCGGGUGAAUCCCUACACAUUUUUGAAUAGUAAUCUCAUCAAACUCACAUUAUCAUUUUACUUAGGAAGCAAUGAACCAAAUUAAAGACUAUUUAAUUAUAUAUGAAUGGGUAUGUUUACCUUCCUGGUUUAGUAGCCCAAUUAUAUCAAAUGCUUUUCUAAAAGCAAGCGCCGUUCUAAAAUAAUCAGUCUGCUUCAACAAUGCUUCUGAACACCUUCCAUGUUUCUUCCACUCGUAUUCCCAGAAUUGUACGUCCUCGGUGUUAGUUUCAUGACUCGGCCAUGCAAGAUGCAUUUCUGCUCGAAAGUCCGAUACCUUUAAUUUUCAAAAUGAAGGAGGAGAGAUAUUAGUUUAACAUAUGUGAGUAUGUAUGGAUAUAUUGCAUGUACACUUUCAAUUUUUUAUCAAACAAACUUAUGACUUAUCCAACUCUUCAAGAUAUAUAUAAAUGUUACCACAAAAAAAAAACAUAUUUAAUAGACAAUAGAGCAAGAAUUUUAAGUAGUAAAUUAAAUGCAGACCGAGAGAACUCACAGAGUUAACAUCAAAGGCAGUUCCGUCACAAUAUAACCCUGGGGUCCCCUUCUCGUUAUAGGGAUAAAGGCCGUGAAUGGUAAAUGUGUUGAGGAGAGACUUUGUAUCACAGGCAUUGUUGACCUCGCAAAAUCCAGCUGGCCAUUGAAGCCUUAGGGCAAACAUUGCCAAUGGAUAAUCUGAUCGAGCAUUCCCACCCCAAGAGAAAAUGCUCAAGCUCACUAUAAUGAUGCUGAUAAUAUAUAUUGCCCUCAUGAUCUCUUCAAACUUCAACAACUUUUUUCUUAAGAAAUGAAGUGUGUGUUUUCUGUGAUCUCUAGACUUCCAUGCAUACCCUUUUAUAGUCACCAGUUCUUUUUUAAUUAUAAUAAGAAAAAACUUAUAAAAUAUUUUUAUUUAUAUUUUUGAGUGUUAAUUUAUCCGUAAAGCUUUCUGGCAUGAAACCAUGGGCGGAACCGGGGGCACCAAAAUUCUGCACAUGCUAUAUAUUAAUAUAUAUAUAUAUAUAUAUAUAUAUUACUAGCAUACAUAUAUUAAUAGUCAAUAUAUUUAUAUAUACACACACACAUAUAUAUAUAUAUAUAUAUAUAUGUAUAAUAAUAGUAAUUUAUAAUAAUAGUCUAAAAUUUUUUACAUAUGCGCGCUCCAUAAAUUUAAAAUUAGAAUAAAUUUUAUUUUACAAUGAAAUUCAAAUAAAAGAACUUAAAACAUAAUCAAAUCUAGGUCGCUACUUGAGAUUGAGGAGUGAUCACAAAAACCAAGUUCUUUAUUUAUUAAAUUAUUUUUUUAUAAAUAUUUUAUAUUUUUAAACAUCAUAAAUUACUUCAGAGACUCUCCCCUCUGUUGAUUUUUUUCUAUAUUAAUUUUCUUUGUUCUAUAUAGAAAAUUGAUAUUUUCAUAUAAAAAAUAAUAUUUCUACAUGAAUCUCUCUCACGUAUUUCUACAUGAAAUAAAAAAAAUAUUUUUAUAUAAAUUUUGAUAUUGACCAAAAUUUUUGAGACGUUUUCAAACUAUGUUGAGUCACAGAAUACAAUUAUAUCUUCUCAAUCGUACAGUUGAAAGAAGCACUCCAAGUAUCAAUAAAUAUUUUUUUUUAUUAAUAUAUUUUGACUCCUUUUAAAAACAUUCUGAUUCUGCCAGUGAAACGUGUUGAAAAAUAUCCAUUGUAUGGUCACCUGUCACACUCUUAGCUGCUACUCCAUUGGUUUUUGUGAAACUUAAUUAGCUUUAACACAUAAAGCCAAUUAGGUUAAUUAAAUUACCCGCCUAUUCCACUUGGUUGCCUUUGUCUUCGUGGUACAGAAGUAGGUGUUAAUUGUAAUUUUUUUUAUAUUAAUUUUAAAGCUAUUAAGUAGUUUUUCGUACACUAACAUGGACAACAAAAAAAAUGACUUGAAUAUAUUUUUAAAAACUCAAGAGAGUUAUUGCUUAUAAAUAUAUGUUUAAACCUGUAAUUCAAUAAUGUGAUCCGCAUGUGACUAAUUUGAGUGAAAAAUUUUAUUUUUCUUUUUUAUCAAUAAAAUGAAAUUCAUUAAUACCCAAAACAUGAUUAUAAAAGAAACUCAAGUUAAACAUGAGCAGCUAAUACAGAAAUUCUAGGGGGACAUUUUUUUGUGACAUUGUUUAGCGACUUUUUUUUUUUGGUUUUUUUUUGUAGUACCUCUUAAAAAAUCUAUAGUAUUUAUUUCAACUAAAAUUUUUAUAAAAAACAGUGUUUUAGGUGUAAAUUGGAUACAUACAAGAAACAGGGUCUGUACAGUCUGUACAACCCUGUUUCUUGUAUAUAUCCAAUUUACACCUAAAAUAUUAUUUUUUACAAAAAUUUUAAUUAAAAUAAAUACUAUACAUUUUUUAAAAUGUACUACAAAAAAAAACCAAAAAAAAAAUGUCACUAAACAAUGUCACCCAAAAAUGUCGCCCUAGAACUACUCCAGCUAAUAACAUAAGUUCUAACAGACAAUGAAUGAUAAGACCCAAAUUACCUUCAAUCACACACUCAUGCAGAAAAAGGACAAUGACAGCGUUUUUUCUCAGCACCGUUUAAUGUGCGUAGAGCAGUAGUGUUUGGAUAAUGAUAAAUAAAACGACAAUAGAGAGAGAGAGAGAGAGAGAGAUUUUUUCGAUUAUUAACUUUUAAUGUGGGUAAAGUAGUAGUAUUUGGAGGUCCAAUGCCACAUUUUAUAUAUAAAAUUUGGACCCGAUUAUUAUGAAAAAUUUUAUGAUAAAUUAGUCAAUUAAUUAAUAAAAUACUGACACAUAGAUAGAGAUCACUUUUUGAUCUGUAUGUCGAUACUCGAUACUGUAUUAAUCAAUUGAUCAAAAUUAACUUCAUGCUAACUACUCCAUAAAAUUUAAACCCUUAAUAAUGUAUAAGUUAUAAAAUUAUUAAUUGUGUUUGGUUUGUUUAGAACUUACGGAGUACUAAUAGACCAAACCUUUUUCCUUCUAAUAUUUUUUUUUCCCUCCGAGCAACAUGAAAAAGUUUGCUAUAAUGAUGAAGUUAUUGCCGGUAGCUAACUACCGCCCUGACUUUGAGUGGUUGUAGAAUUAAUGGCUUAUCGAUCCCUUAUUGAAGAAGAAGAGAUACAAAUAAAAUUUUUUAAUAAAUUUUAUUAAUAAUAAAUAAAUUUAGAUGAAUACAUAGAUAAACUUGUAAGAAUAUUUUAUGAGAGAAUAUUAAUUAUAUUUAUAUAAAUUAGGCUAAUUGAUUGGUCUAAUUAAGUGUGAUAUAUGGACUCUAAUUAAGUCUAAUAUAGAUUGGCUAGUAUGAGUUAUUUAAAUAACAUUUUGGGCUUGUGAUAAGUAUAUAGUUCCACUAGCUAGGAUUGCUAAUCAUACUAAGAAGGUUAUUGAAGGUUUCUCAUCGAGCCAACAUUUAAGGCAUCAAGGGAGUAGUAUAUAAUUUGGUCAUUCAGAAAGAUCAAUUCUGUUGCGCUAGCUCAUUAUGGAUUUCAAAUAAGGUACACAAUAUUAUUAUUUUCUAUAUACCUAGGUCUGGAAUGGGUUAGUUUUGGUUUACAUAAUUUAGUUAUGAUUAUAUUUAAGAAUUAAAAUUACAAUACUUAUUUUUAAUAUGAAUUAUGUGGAUUAGAACUAUAUAAUUAUGAGUUAUGUGGGUUGAAAUUAUAUAGUUAUGAGUUAAAUAUAAAUAAACUCAUAUUUCAAUUUUCAAGCUUACCAUUAUUAUGGUCCAAUUAAAUAAAUUACUUUAAAUUUAUUUUUUAUAUCUUCCUUUUAACUUUCUCUCUAAAACUUUUAUACUCUCUCUCUCUCUCUAAAAUUUAAUUACUUGUGGUGUUUCUAAGUUUUUUGUUAGACAAAAUUAACCCUUUUUUUCAAACUUACGCAUCAAUUAAACCUAAGAAUUAAUUAAUCCAAAACCAGAAAUUUAUCAACGUCAAUGAGAAGAAAAAUACCUAGGACAUGAUUAUCGUAGAAGAGAAUAAGUGUCUUAGCACUAGUUUUAACGUAUGUACGAAACAUACUUAGAAAGCACAUUUAUUUAAAAAAGUCACUUCAUCACAAAAUAACAUUUUUUUUCUUGUCUUUUCUUUAAUUACCAAAUAUUGUGUAUAAGUAUUUUUAUAGUUGCAUUCUAUCUUGUACUCUUAAAAAGAGUUUAAUUGUAUUUUCUUUUAGGAAAAAAAAAUAUUGUCUUCGUUCUAAAAUUAGAAAUACAUUUUGACUUUUUAAAAUCAAUUAGGAAAAUCCUAAAACUCCAAAUUGAUAUAAUUUCGUUUAAGUUUUAAAAACAACAAAGAUGAUAAUUAGUAGUGCUUUAUAAUUAGUUUACAAUUGUUAUAUUUGUUUUUAUUAAAACUAAAUAAAUUCAUAUCAAUUUUAAAUUUUAGAAUUUCGUAAAUUAACUCGAAAAAGUCAAAAUAUAUAUCUAAUUUUGGAACGAGAGAGUAAUAUUUUUAUUGAUCUUAGUAUAUAAUGACAUGAUGACAUAAUUUUACUAUUAUAUUAUUAUUUUUAAAUUAUUUUUUUUUAAUUAAACAUAAAAUAAGUAUAAAUUCGUUCAAUCAAAGUAGUAACAACCACCUUGAUAGACACAGAACUGUACAUGAAAAGAAAAGAAAUCAAAACAAGACGAUUCAGUAUAUUGCAUGACAGACAUAUUUGAAUUCACAUCCCAUGAACCUCAUUUCUUUACAUAUUCCAAUAUCUUGCGAAUUCUGGAAUACCUUUACAUGUGCAGAAAUCAAGUAGGUAAAAAUUAGUUAACUAGUUUGGGUGUAUUUUUUUUUUUUUGAAAAAUAUGGGUUCAAAUUUAAACCAAAUCAAAGAAUUUAAAAUAAUUAAUCAAGUCAAAAGAUUAUAGUUAAUAUAAGUUGACUCAUUAAUUUAUAAAUUAAAUUGUCAAGUCUAGUUCUACGUGUUCUUCUCCUAUUUAUGUAUACGAAUAAAAUGAAUUAUUACAAAUUAAUAAUACAAUUAGUAUCAGAACUUCACCUAAUAAAGUUAAUUUUUAUAUAUAUUAAAAUAAUUUAUUGAGGGAUCGAAUUAAUUUAUUUCUCCUAUGAUACGAUUAUAUCGUUUAAACGUACGGAAGUUAAAUAAUUUUGUUAAACCCAUCAUGACAUUACUGUUUAACUUCCACCGUACUGUUGUUUGAAAUUUGUCAUUACCAAUCAAAAAGUCACUUUGAUUGUUAUAAUAUGAAUUCAUGUAAUCCGUCCAUGUGUAUCGAUCUGGAUAAUGCAAUCACGUGAUGAUGUCGAGCAAUUUGGCUUAGUAAUUUACAUGCAUACUUUUUGGCUUAAAAAAUUAAACAACAAGCUUUCUGGCCCAUUCAUGACAAUGAAAUUGUCAGCUUGUAGCUGUAUUAAUUUGCAAAUUCAUAUAUUAAGUCAAUUUAUAUAUGUCCAGCAUAUAUAAUUUUGCUGCUUCGCAGUUUGGUUUAUGUGUUUUUGUUGGCCGAAUUAUAUGUCGUAAUCUAUUCUAUGACUUUACAUGGGUAUAUAUGUGUAGAUUAUAUGAUAAUUUGGCAUGGAUGAUAAUUAUGUACAAUGUUCGCCAUAUGUUAAGGCUAUAUUUAUUUAUAUGAUUAAAAAUGCAACUAUUAUUUUGAGCACAUAUUUAUAUAGUCAUGUUUAUAUAUUUUGCAUUGUUAGUGCAUAAAAUAUAAUUAUACGCACGCGAAAGUAUGUUAUAAAUUAUAUUUAAUUUUUUUUUUUACAAUUCUAAGAAUCAUUUUUAUACGAUAUUAUUAAUUAAGGAAAAUUUAAAAUCAUCCCGAUGAAAACAAAUAAACUUUUAAUUUGCACGGAUCAAAUGCAAAUUACUUGGUGUUUGUAGCACUCCAAAAAUGAUCCAUCAAGAGAAUAUAAAGAUGAAAAAUGAUUAAUUUAGGGUUAUAAAAAAUCCUAGAGCUAGUGAUUAGUCCUUUUUCUCUAUAUCUUUCCUAACCUAUUUAGAUUUGAGAAUGAAUAAUUGUAGUAAACCCUACUUCAUAAUAAAGUCUCUCCUUAUAUAGACAACUCAUUUUAGAGUUUUAAUCUAAUUUCUAAGCUAUUUAGGAACUAGAGUAUUUAUAACAUAAUAAUAAUAAGAAAACGAAUACAUCAUAUUAAUUUAUAAUUAGUAGUUCUUAAAUAAUUUAUUAUAAAUAUUAAAAUAUUUAAUUUGUUUCAUCAUGGUACAAAUUAAAUAUACUUAUUUUAUUAUUAUUUGGGUCAAUUACUUUUAAAGCAAUAUUUUUUUAUAGUAUAAUCAUUUAGGUUCAAUAUUAU